CUACGGGGGGCUGCAGUGAGGAAUAUUGCACAAUGGAGGAAACUCUGAUGCAGCAACGCCGCGUGGAGGAUGACGCAUUUCGGUGUGUAAACUCCUUUUAUAUGUCAAGAAAAUGACGGUAGCAUAUGAAUAAGCUCCGGCUAACUCCGUGCCAGCAGCCGCGGUAAUACGGAGGGAGCAAGCGUUACUCGGAAUCACUGGGCGUAAAGGACGCGUAGGCGGGAUAGAAAGUCAGGUGUGAAAUCCUAUGGCUCAACCAUAGAACUGCACUUGAAACUUCUAACCUAGAGUAUGGGAGGGGAAGAUGGAAUUAGUGGUGUAGGGGUAAAAUCCGCAGAUAUCACUAGGAAUACCAAAAGCGAAGGCGAUCUUCUGGAACAAUACUGACGCUAAGGCGUGAAAGCGUGGGGAGCAAACAGGAUUAGAUACCCUAGUAGUC
rnacentral:rRNA from 1 species